GAUGAACGCUGGCGGCGUGCCUAAUACAUGCAAGUCGAGCGAACAGAUGAGGAGCUUGCUCCUCUGACGUUAGCGGCGGACGGGUGAGUAACACGUGGAUAACCUACCUAUAAGACUGGGAUAACUUCGGGAAACCGGAGCUAAUACCGGAUAAUAUAUUGAACCGCAUGGUUCAAUAGUGAAAGACGGUUUUGCUGUCACUUAUAGAUGGAUCCGCGCCGCAUUAGCUAGUUGGUAAGGUAACGGCUUACCAAGGCAACGAUGCGUAGCCGACCUGAGAGGGUGAUCGGCCCCAUGGGAACUGGAACACGUCCCAGAUUCCUACGGGAGGCAGCAGUAGGGAAUCUUCCGCAAGGGGCGAAAGCUGACCGAGCCAACGCGAGUGGGUUAAGGAGGUUCUCCGAACCGAAAAACUCUUUAAUAAGGAAGAAACAAUGUUUAAGUUAACAAGCCACUCUUGAAGGUAACUUAUCCGAAAGCCACGGCUAACUACGUG
rnacentral:rRNA from 1 species